rfam:Jatropha curcas cultivar GZQX0401 scaffold122_70, whole genome shotgun sequence.
AACUGGCUUAGUUAAGAGGCAGAGAUCAAAUCGUUUGAUCAAAUGUUGUAUUUGAUUAUUCAUAAUCCAAGGCCAUUUUGAGGGAACAAUCUCCGCAAUCUCACAACGAUUGUUCUCCAAGCAGCCUUAGACAUUU